ensembl:misc_RNA Metazoa_SRP Metazoan signal recognition particle RNA
GCCAGGCGUGGUGGCUCACGCCUGUAAUCCCAACACUUUGGGAGGCCGAGGCAGGUGGAUCACUUGAGGUCAGGAGUUCGAGACCAGCCUGGCCAACAUGGUGAAACCCUGUCUCUA